AAACUUUACAAUGCUGGCAACAGCGAUAAGGGGACCUCGAGUGCCAGGUUACAAAUCUGGCUGUCGUGAUGCCUAAAAAGCAUUGCAUAGCAAGGCCGGGCAAGACCGGUGCCAGCCGCCGCGGUAACACCGGCGGCUCGAGUGGUAACCGUUAUUAUUGGGUCUAAAGGGUCUGUAGCUGGUCUGUUAAGUCUCUGGGGAAAUCUACUGGCUUAACCAAUAGGCGUCUCAGGGAUACUGGCAGACUAGGGACCGGGAGAGGUGAGAGGUACUCCAGGGGUAGGAGUGAAAUCCUGUAAUCCUUGGGGGACCACCUGUGGCGAAGGCGUCUCACCAGAACGGCUCCGACAGUGAGGGACGAAAGCUGGGGGAGCAAACCGGAUUAGAUACCCGGGUAG
rnacentral:rRNA from 1 species